GAUGAACGCUGGCGGCGUGCCUAAUACAUGCAAGUCGAGCGAACGGACGAGAAGCUUGCUUCUCUGAUGUUAGCGGCGGACGGGUGAGUAACACGUGGAUAACCUACCUAUAAGACUGGGAUAACUUCGGGAAACCGGAGCUAAUACCGGAUAAUAUUUUGAACCGCAUGGUUCAAAAGUGAAAGACGGUCUUGCUGUCACUUAUAGAUGGACCCGCGCUGCAUUAGCUAGUUGGUAAGGUAACGGCUUACCAAGGCAACGAUGCAUAGCCGACCUGAGAGGGUGAUCGGCCACACUGGAACUGAGACACGGUCCAGACUCCUACGGGAGGCAGCAGUAGGGAAUCUUCCGCAAUGGGCGAAAGCCUGACGGAGCAACGCCGCGUGAGUGAUGAAGGUCUUCGGAUCGUAAAACUCUGUUAUUAGGAAGAACAUAUGUGUAAGUAACUGUGCACAUCUUGACGGUACCUAAUCAGAAAGCCACGGCUAACUACGUG
rnacentral:rRNA from 1 species